UGUUGUUUGAAGAUCAAGGACUUUAUUCCAAUUUUCAGCUGCUUCUAUGUUGUGUAGAAUUAGUUUUGCGACAGACGCCAAGUUUUCUGCUCAAUGAACCUUAUGAUUCCAUCAGGAUUGGAUGUUACAAAAAUGACCAAACAAUGUUGCAAAAGCUGGCGGAAGACUUUGAUGUGGAUGCUGGGCAGAUCAUAGUGCUACAACAAGAACACACAGAAAGCUAUUUUCAAAGUUUGUUGAAUGAGGAUGGGGAACUGGAUGUAAGUCAGUCCUACUGUUUUAAGCUUGAGUUGUCAUUCUUUGUGUUUUAGCAGACGACAUAAUCAUUGUCAAUUUUGCAUCACAUAAAAAAAGAGAAA
rnacentral:sRNA from 1 species